AGCUGGUCCGAAGGUAAUAGGUUAUCUCACUUGAUUGUUCACAGUUACUGAUUGAAUUUGUUCUACUACUUUCCCCCUCCUCAUUACUGCACUUGGGCAGCCUUAA
rnacentral:Y_RNA from 1 species